rnacentral:tRNA from 1 species
AGGUAUAUAGCUCAAGUGGUAGAGUGCAUGCUUAGCAUGCACAAGGUCCUGGGUUCAAUCCCCAAUAUACCUC